rnacentral:lncRNA from 1 species
GUUGGUCACAAAAUGACCUACGUCAUUUUUUUGUCAAACAUUACGUCAUUACUUUCAGUCGCUGGAUUCAAGAUGGCCGCCUAUUUGGGAGCGUAUUCGGAAAUAAUUUCAUCGAUUUUGUGCAUAUUUUCUUCAUUUUUUCGAUGAAACUUAAUAGUUUUCCCAUCAGCCAGACUCUAUAAACCGAAAGUCAUCUUAUAUGAGUAAACUUGGAAGACUGGAAGCCUGAAAUAGACGACAAAAGUUCACAAUUUUCACAAAGUUGGAACUUCGUAAAUUGCAACAAUAAUAUUCGCAAGUUGCUGUUUAUUUGGAUGUAAAUAGAAUCUGCUUAAUGGGACAAGGGUUUAAUAGAGCUCCUUGCCUUGCUGGCUAAUGAUAUUUUAAAAGCUCUCAGGACAGCUGUUAUCUCACAAUAGGUAUUGUACAAUUCAAACACACAGAACAUAUUAAUUUGUAUAAUAGAUAAAUUUGGCAAAGUUAGUUACAUUGUUGCUAUGCAAUUCAAAACUUUAAAUAUUCAUGCCUAGUUAGUGUUCUACAGUAGUUCACACAUAGAAUAGAACAGAGGUAACUAAGCAUUUGAUAAGCCCUAUACACUAUAAAAGUCAUUCAUUCAUUCAUAUAGCUAGAUAAUUCUAAAGCUUAGUUAUCUUUGCUCUACUCUAUGCUUCAGUACACCAGAACAAUGAUACUUAAGGCUGCAUUCCAGUUUCAUAGGUGCGUACGCGCACGUAAAAGUUGAAUUCGCUUAAAAUUUCAUAUAAGUGCAAAUAACCUUAACAAAUACACAUUAAAUCAUACACAAAACUGAAUGCUGUCCUCCUAUAAAUUUAGUUAUUUCAUAACGCGUAACUGGAAUGCAGCCUUAAGGCAUGUGACUUAUGUAAAGUUGCGAAUUUAUAACCAAACUUAGACAAAUUUGUUUAUUGUCUAUAGUCCGGGGACUUGUUUGAUGAACUUUGUUUUAAUUUUUCCUUGAAUCCCAUUUUUGACAAAAACAAUUUUAUUAUAUGAACACAUAAACUUAACAAACAAAUAGCAGUCUUAAUCUCAAUCGCAUGCAGCAUAAUAUGCAAUAGCCCCAGCGACUAACGCUCAAUAGAGCGUCUUGUUUAGUUAAAACGUUCGACGCCGUUUCGAGUGUUUUAUGUAAAUUUACUGACUUUUGCUACUUAAGAGUGUUUAAAAUAAAGAUAAGUACUUUUAAUGGGCAAAUAAAGUAUAGUAUGCAUGCAUGCUUUGGACUGAAUAAAAAAUGUAUUUAUAUUAAUUUAAUCUUAUUUUCUGACUUUGCCGCUCUCGCUAAAAUUUCAAACCAAUUCAUCCACAAUUAUUGUUAUGAUCCGCUUUAGUACCUCAUUGCCACAAAUUGAAUACAGGCGUAGCCACCUUGUCUGAUACUGUGAUAGCAAUGCGAUAGUCGUUUCAAGCUUGAUCAGCAUAAAUAAUACUAAUAUUUGCAUGUCAUUUACACACUUCAGAGUUCAGUAGUCUUAAUUUAGACGCCAUACUUAAAACACAACAGCGUUAAUUUUAUGCUUUAUUCUUCAGAAGAAGUCGCUCGAAGAUGGAAUCGAAUUAUUCUAUCAAUCUGUUAGCCAUAUUUGCUGUGAACGUAUUCUUCUUUUUCUCAGGAAUAUUUUUAAAUUCCUUGGUUAUACUCAGUUUCUGGAGGUCUGUACAGCUUCGAAAAAAAUUAUGUUACUUCAUGGUAAUGGUUUUGUCCUGUUGCGAUUUGCUCGGGGUUAUAACUAACAGUCCAUUGAUGGCUCUGAUCGCGAUCAUAUGCUUUACUGGAAAAUGGGAUGAAAAUGCUGGAUGGGCUCAUAUUUCCUCAACAUCGACAAGUAGUUUCCUUGCUUUUUCAUUAUUCGCUCUUCUGGUGAUGAAUUUCGAUCGAUAUUUGGCGACAUCUUAUCCUAUCUUUCAUCGAACGUCGGUAACAAAGGGAAAACUUUUAACUCUUCUUGCAAUACUGAUCACCAUCGAAGUAAUUUUGAGAGCGAUGUCUGUGAAUAACUUUCUUAUUUCCAACCAAUGGCAUGCUGCAAUUUUUUUUAGUUUUUUCAUUCCUCCAAUGUUAUUUAUCAACUACAAACUUAUUCUAGUCGUCAGGAAAAGUCGUAAAAACAAAAGAAUAUCACUCGAAAUCAAAAAGACGUUUUCUUUCAAAAAUGUUUCUAGUUGUUUGCUAACAGUCGCUUGUGUUGUGGUGUUAUCCAUUCCAAUGGUCGUCUACAUUGGAUUAAAGAUAAGCUCACCAAAGACAACAGGCACUUUAAGUAUCGCAUACCUUGCAAGACUCUGGGCAAAAACCAUAAGCUUGAUGAAUGGUACAUUUAACUGUUUAAUCUUUUACUGGAAAAACAAGGUGUUACGUACCGAAGGAUUAAAAGUUUUGAAAAGCCUGAAGAUAUGUCGACGGGUUGAAUCCCGCUAGCUGCAUUUAUAACCCUUCUUCACGAAAACUUAACGUUCCAAAGAAACUCGUUGCAUUUCAGGAUUUUAAUUUUGCCUUACACUGUAUCCUCAUGGCUUAGCUAACAAUAUCUUGAUCAUAGUAAAUGUGAACACAACAACUAUAAACUCAUAGGCAGGUGUGUCAAAAAUAGCUGACCAGUUUUGGCAUGUUAUUUUGCGUUAAAUAUUGCGUACAUAGAUUUAAUUUCCCCAUACUAAUAAGGAUUACGCCUUUGACUAUCGAAUGAGACUUUUUUUGUAUCAUUGCGUUACGAACUGGCUUAUUAUUUCUGCCGUUAAUGGCUAUAGACUAUAUUAUACAGCAAUUAUUUUUAUCAUUCGCUCUCGUCGUAUAUGGCUGACACCGACUUGGCGAGCUAUCACUUAUCAGGACAUAUACGACUCGAGCUUAUGACAUAAUUGUUAAUUAUACACACUUUAGUAAUUCGUUAUAAUGACUUUGAGUAGUUUUGGCAACAAAAGGCCAAUAGUACAUUGUUACACUGCAUUAAUAUAUAAGUAGUACGUUGUAUAAUUACUUUGCUAUAGUGCGAGUGCCAUUUAAUAGAAUAACACAGAGACAUAUAGUUAUAGAGUAAAAAUAGAAAGUGAGACUGCAGUUUGUAUUUCUAAAUAUUUCGUAAGUAUUAAAUUCUCAUUAUUGGGAAUGGUAAAACUAGAGACAGUUGUAGUUAGGCGCUUCAGAGUUUCAAUAAAUUCAAGGAAAGGAACGUUUGAUUGUGAGUUUCUCUGAAAAUGUCCUGGCAGACUGUAUUCUGCCUUUUUUCGGCCCCAGGCCAUUUUUCUGCUGUUGCAAUGACAGAAAAUGAUUGGUACUUAUAAACUUCCAAGUUUUUUCUUCGUGAAAUUAUAAAGAGAAUUAUGUUGAAAGCAGAAUAUUGUGUUUAUAAAGUCAACACAUAAGUAAAGCACCUGCUUAGGGACUUUGUUUUAAGUUUAAAGUUGAAACUGAGAUUUGGCGUAAAUAAUUUCGCUGGCAAAUGGGAUUUAGAAUUUUAGGACCCUUUCAUAAAUUAUGAAAUAUUUCCAAACACAUCCAAACACAGAGGGAUAUUAUCUCUUCUC